rnacentral:rRNA from 1 species
GACGAACGCUGGCGGCGUGCUUAACACAUGCAAGUCGAACGGAAAGGCCCUGCUUUUGUUGGGUGCUCGAGUGGCGAACGGGUGAGUAACACGUGAGUAACCUGCCCUUGACUUUGGGAUAACUUCAGGAAACUGGGGCUAAUACCGGAUAGGAGCUCCUGCUGCAUGGUGGGGGUUGGAAAGUUUCGGCGGUUGGGGAUGGACUCGCGGCUUAUCAGCUUGUUGGUGGGGUAGUGGCUUACCAAGGCUUUGACGGGUAGCCGGCCUGAGAGGGUGACCGGCCACAUGGGGACUGAGAUACGGCCCAGACUCCUACGGGAGGCAGCAGUGGGGAAUAUUGCACAAUGGGCGGAAGCCUGAUGCAGCAACGCCGCGUGCGGGAUGACGGCCUUCGGGUUGUAAACCGCUUUCGCCUGUGACGAAGCGUGAGUGACGGUAAUGGGUAAAGAAGCACCGGCUAACUACGUG